AUCUCACCAUAGUAGAUGGUUGGUAAUAUGGCUUAGCGUAAUCGUUUAGCACGAUGAGAUCUCCGUGUCCGAUUGAAGAUUAAAUUCAUAAAAGAUGCCAUGCCUCAUACGGUGGAUUUAAACGGCUAACACUCGAUAAACCUAAUUUCUUCUUUGAGUUUCCUCUGUUAUUUAAUUUCCCUGGACUUGAUCACGAAACACACGGAUUGAAUUGUAAACCUGUUUUUUAUUUUUCUCCAGCGUAGUGUUCGGAAUAGUUUCGCAUCAAGCCUCGUCCAUGAUUUGGUGGUGUCUACUAGGGUUUUGAGUAUUCUUGGAUUUGUCUUUUUUUUUUUCUAUGCUUCUUUUACUUUUCUCGAUUUAAUUCUCCGUGACUUCCGCUUGGGUCUUACAGGGAAAAUAAGCAACGGAUGUGUGGUAGGCUGUGGCGGGAGAUUAUUGACAACAGACUUUCUGUGUGAAGCCUUAGGUUUUAUUACCCUUACAUUCAUCAUUUGAUUGUUUGUUCGUUUAUGCUAUCUAGUUUAUUGGGUUUUGAUCUAGUUGUUUGCCGCUGUACGGUAACCUGGUAGUGUGGGAGUUCUUGUGUUGGUGGGUUUGUAACAGGAACAAUCAAUGUAUUAUGCAUUUGGGGAUUGUUACAAUGUCACAGGAGGAGUUUGGGACAGCGCGGUUGGGUGUUUGACUCUUUGAUUUGAUGGCGUCUUGGUUUGGAGAAAUUCUACUACUCCUUUUACUGUUUUCUUGAUAAUUUUUAGUAGUCUAUAGUAUCUCCUCUCCUAAUUGAAUAUCCUCUUCAUCACAGCGGCACGAGACCUCCCAUUUGCAAUAGGAGUGAUUUCUUCAGUUACCCAGGCUGAAAUCUGCAGGAGCAUGGAAAUACUGGUUCAAUAGUGUUAUUGUGAUAAAAUUUAGCUAAUUUGAUCUAAUUUUUUUAAUGUUGUGUGGUGUUCAAUUGGGUUGGAUCUUAAAUGUUUUGCUGUUCACUCUACUAAAUUUUUCUAGCAAUGGGAAUUAUAUUUUACAAGCAUGGUUUGGGGGAUCUUAAAUGUUUUGCUGUUCACUCUACUUAAGAAUGUUCCUUUUAGCAGAUAAGUUUAUUUUGUCUUGUUUAUUUGAUUGAUCAUGCUAAAUGUAUUGAACUUUUUAUCAUGUUAUUCUGCAGCUUAGUAUUUUAAAUUGUGUUGUGCAACAAAAUAAUUGGAUGAGACAUUGAGUUGCCUGGAAUUAUUUAUGAUUUUCUUUUUUUUAAGAUUAGUUUUUUUUUCUUGCUUCUUAGAUGAAGCUUUGUUGAUCUAGGUUUGUGCACUUUGGUGUUCUUAGGUGUAGCUAAGUUGAUGAUGGGAUCUUAAAGAAAAUGUGCUUUCAUUUUGCCAGAAUAUGUCAGCAAGAGCUCAGGAUGAUCUGAUUUAAUUUCUUUGAUUAGUUUGUUCUAUCUAGAUUUUCUUGUGAUCUUUUUGUUUUGUAGUUCUGAAAAUAAAUUUUUGAUUUUCUUAGGAGUGGCAAAAUUGAAGAUGGGAUCUUAUAGUUAUUCCUUUAAUUUUACCAGAGAGCCCAGGACUAUUUGCUUUAAUUUCUUUGAUUUCAAAACCUUGUUUUGUCUUCUUUUUGUUUCCUGCAUCCAACCCACUUGAAUUGAAUUUUGAGCUUGUUUUUGUGCAGUUUGUGUUUGGAACGAUGUUGUGUUGGAACAUUGAAGCUCUUGCAUGAUUUAGGUGACUACCUGCAGUUAGAAUUCUUGGUUUUAUCUUUUCAUUUUUAGACUCCUUUAUGAUGACAAUUUUAAGUCAACAUUUGACAAUUUAACUUUACAGAUUAAUCGAUGAAAUAUGUCCUGGAUUUGAUAUCACUACCAUUUCCGAACUUCCUAUAUGGAUUAGAUUUUUUCAUCAUAGGGAAUUGUUGAAUUUCCUUUCUUUUAUCUGUAUCAGGGCUAAAAUUACCAAAGUUUUGAGACCCCAAAAGUGUUCCCUUGGACCAGAAUAUUUUCCUUACUUUCUUUGUACUGAUUAUUUCCUUCUUCAUGUGGAUCUCUUAUAUUCUUGUUAAUUGAACAUUUUUUGUGAAUCCCAGUUCAAGUGCUUUUAUGAUUUACGAUAAAAAAAUCUUUUUUACUGCUGAAGACCUUCCUUUUUGGAAAUGGAGUAAAAACAUCUCUUGUCCUGUUUUCUGUAUUUUGUAUCAAAAUACAAAUGCAUGUACAAGGUUGAAUCAAACCUAAAUAAGCUUCUCUUGCAGGACUUGCCAUGUAAUUUCUAAGAGUAGUUUGUGUGUGUUGUGUUUACAUACCUAUGCAUAUAUUAUUUAUUUCUUGUUCGUAGAAUUAUUGCUUUUUUGAAAUUUGAUUCUAUCCUGGAAAAAUUGCUUCAUAUCUUGCCUUGAAAAUGUUUUCCCACAAAGCCUUCUUCAAUUUCUUUUUUUAGGAGGUUUAUUAAUCCUUAAAAAAUUUUGGUGUUCAACUUUCACAUGAAAAUAAUUUUUUCUGUAUUAUUUAAUUUAACUUAUCUUUGAAUACAAUAAUUUCCUUGUAUUUAAUUUUCUAGAUUGCUCAACCAUCCCAUUAUUAGGUAAAAUUAAGUUUUCUUUUCGAAUAAUGAUCCGAAGAAACCGGUAUUCAUGUGUCUCUCCAAUCAUAUUAAUAUUAUUCUGCACUUUAUCAUGGAGAUUUUUUACCUUGAAAUGGUGAUGUUCAUAUUGCAGUGUGCUGGAGUAUCAACUUUGCAUUCAUUCUUGAUAGAGAAGAUUAGAACGGCUAACAAGUGUAGAUAAAUUUAAGUUUUCUUUGAUGGGGAUCCUUUGGUUGCUAGGUUCUGAAUUUGAUUAUGGGGGCAUAUGGAUUGAGUUCUUAACCUCUUUUCUUGUGGUGUAGUGUUUUGAGUAGGUUUGGGUUAAGCCUCAUGCUUGAUUUGGUGGCAUCUACUCCCUGGAUUCUGAUUUCUCUGAUUUUUCCUUUUGUUUCUACUUUUCAUUUACCUAGUAUGAGCUUUUCUUGAUUUACUUCUCCAUGAUUUUUGCUUCGAUCUCUCAGGGAAGAUCCAUGAAUGUGUGGUGGGUUGUGGAAGCAGUGGCUGCCUUAUUACAUGAUUUGGUUAUCUCUAUUCUGGAUUCUGAAUCUUGGAUUUGAUUUCUACUUUUCAAUGAUUACUGAGAGCUUUAUUUUAUCUCCGUGAUUUUGGGUUAAUCUACCUGUGUUAUUUCGUCCUUGGAAAUUAUCUCCCUCAAUUCUAUCUUUCUUUGUUUCAUUAUGGGCAUUUCACAAUUUAGUGCUUCAUGAUUGCUGCUUGGGUCUCAAAGGAAGAUAAGAAAUUUUGUUUAUAUUUAUCUUCUCAACAGGAGCAAUAAGGGACGGGUUUGGUUGGCUUUCACUUUGGUUUCGAGAAUCUGCAUUUGGGUUUGAAGAACUAUGCAAAUCUUCUUUCAUCAUUUUCUUGAUAAUUUUUAUACGAAAGAAAAGAUAUAUCUAGGUGUUGAACUACUUGUGCUUAUUUUGUUUGCAGCACGCUGAAUUUGCAUUUAAGAUUUCUGUUUUGGAUUGAAGAUUAAAUCAUGAAAGAUAUUGUGAUUCUUGAUACAGCGAAUUAUAAUGGCCGACAGCUCUGGAUAUUAAUUUAUUUCAUGUGAUUUAUUUUAUUUCUAUGGACUUGAUCACGAAAUAUAUGGAUUGAAUUGUGAUCCUGUUUUUUCUGCAUUGUAGUGUUUGGAAUUGUUUUGUGUAACUUCCUGCAUUGCACCAAGGCUCGUGCAUAUGAUCUGGCGUGUUGUCUCUUUGGGUUUUUGAAUUCUUGGUCUUAUUUUGUUUCUAUCCUUGAUUGCUUUUUUAUUGUUUAUAGUUUUUUCAAUUUUAUUCUCCGUGACUUCCACUUGGGCCUUACAGGGGAAGACAGGCAAUGGAUGUUUAGUCGGCUGGGGAAGCAGUGGUGGGAGACUAUUGGGUGGACUUCCUGUGAAGUCUGAGGUUUUAUUUCUCCAUAAUUUUAUUCUCUUGUGUUUGUUCUGGACUGGCUAUAUGCUAUCAUGUUGGUCGAAUUUGACAGAUUAAAGUAAUGGGUAGUGUCAGAGUUAUUGUUUAUUUUUCUAACAGGAACAAUAAGAGUAUUGGAGGCACUGAAGUUUUUGUGGAGAGUUUGUUUGUUGCAUUUGGGUUUGGAGAACUCUGUGACUCUUUCAUCAUUUUCUAGAUAAUUUUUUUACUAAGAUAUAUCUAAGUGUUAAAACAGUUUGAGUUUAUUUGUUUGCAGCAAGCUGCGUCUUCAUAUGAGAUUUCUGUGUUGGAUUGAUGAUUAAAUCAUAAUAGAAUUCUGUGUUCUUGAUACAGCAAAUUAAAACGGCCAACAGCUAUGGAUGAAUUAAUUUCUUUGAUGAGUUUCCUUUGUAUUAUCUUUUUCAUCUGGACUUGAUCACGAAACAUAAGGAUUGAAUUGUGAACCUUUGUUUUCUGCAGUGUAAUGUUUGGAAUUGUUUUGUGUAAGGUCUUGCGUUGCAUUGAGCCCCGUGCAUGAUUUGGCGAUGCCUCUCUGGGUUUUUGAAUUCUUAUAUUUUCUUUUCGUUUUUAUCUUUUGAUGUUUAUUAUGAGCAUUUAGGAUUUUAGAUUUUAUUCUCCAUGACUUCCCCUUGGGUCUUACUGGGCAGAUAAGCAAAUGGAUUUGUUCAGCAGGCUGUGGAAGGCAGUGGCUGGAAAUUAUUGAGGGACUUCCUGUACAGUCUUAGGUUUUAUUACCCUCACAUUCGUUAUUUUCUUAUGUGUUUGCUCUGCGUUUGAUGGUGUACGGUAACCUGGUAGUGUCAGAGUUAUUGUGUGUGAUUCUAACAGGCACUAUAAGAGUAUUGGGAGGCACUGGAGUUUUUGUGGACAAUUUGUUUGCUUCAUUUGGGUUUUUGGAGAACUCUGCGACGAUGUUCAGCAGGCUGUGGAAGGCAGUGGCCGGAGAUUACUGAUGGACUUCCUGUGAAGCCUUAGGUUUUAUUACCCUCACAUUAAUUAUUUUCUUAUGUGUUUGUUCUGCAUUUAUUGGUGUACGGUCACCUGGUAGUGUCUGUUAUUGUGUGAGAUCCUAACAGGAACUAUAAGUAUUGGGAGGCACUGGAGUUUUUGCGGACAAUUUGUUUGUUUCAUUUGGGUUUGGAGAACUCUGAUUUCACAAUUUUUUUUUACCAAUUUUUAAUAUGAAAGAUAUUUCUAGGUGUUUAACUGUUUGUGUUCAUUCUUAUGCAGCAUGCCAAGUCCUGAUAUGAGAUUUCUGUUGCCGAUUGUUGAAGAAUAAAUCAUAAAAUUAGAACAGAUAACAGCUCUGGAUGAAUUAAUGUCAUU